UAGGGAAUAUUGGACAAUGGGCGCAAGCCUGAUCCAGCCAUGCCGCGUGCAGGAUGAAGGCCCUCGGGUUGUAAACUGCUUUUGUACGGAACGAAAAGCCUCUUUCUAAUAAAGAGGGGUGAUGACGGUACCGUAAGAAUAAGUACCGGCUAACUACGUGCCAGCAGCCGCGGUAAUACGUAGGGUGCGAGCGUUAAUCGGAAUUACUGGGCGUAAAGCGUGCGCAGGCGGUCUUGCAAGACAGUGGUGAAAUCCCCGGGCUCAACCUGGGAACUGCCAUUGUGACUGCAAGGCUGGAGUACGGCAGAGGGGGAUGGAAUUCCGCGUGUAGCAGUGAAAUGCGUAGAUAUGCGGAGGAACACCGAUGGCGAAGGCAGUCCCCUGGGCCUGUACUGACGCUCAUGCACGAAAGCGUGGGGAGCAAAC
rnacentral:rRNA from 1 species